rnacentral:rRNA from 1 species
CCGGCGAUGUCCGAAUGGGGAAACCCAGUGCAAUUCGUUGCACUAUCGUUAACUGAAUACAUAGGUUAACGAGGCGAACCGGGGGAACUGAAACAUCUAAGUACCCCGAGGAAAAGAAAUCAACCGAGAUUCCCCCAGUAGCGGCGAGCGAACGGGGAGCAGCCCAGAGUCUGAAUCAGCUUGUGUGUUAGUGGAACGGUCUGGAAAGUCCGACGGUACAGGGUGAUAGUCCCGUACACCAAAAUGCACAGGCUGUGAACUCGAAGAGUAGGGCGGGACACGUGGUAUCCUGUCUGAAUAUGGGGGGACCAUCCUCCAAGGCUAAAUACUCCUGACUGACCGAUAGUGAACCAGUACCGUGAGGGAAAGGCGAAAAGAACCCCGGCGAGGGGAGUGAAAAAGAACCUGAAACCGUGUACGUACAAGCAGUGGGAGCACCUUCGGGUGUGACUGCGUACCUUUUGUAUAAUGGGUCAGCGACUUAUAUUCUGUAGCAAGGUUAACCGUAUAGGGGAGCCGCAGGGAAACCGAGUCUUAACUGGGCGUUAAGUUGCAGGGUAUAGACCCGAAACCCGGUGAUCUAGCCAUGGGCAGGUUGAAGGUUGGGUAACACUAACUGGAGGACCGAACCGACUAAUGUUGAAAAAUUAGCGGAUGACUUGUGGCUGGGGGUGAAAGGCCAAUCAAACCGGGAGAUAGCUGGUUCUCCCCGAAAGCUAUUUAGGUAGCGCCUCGUGAAUUCAUCUUCGGGGGUAGAGCACUGUUUCGGCUAGGGGGUCAUCCCGACUUACCAACCCGAUGCAAACUACGAAUACCGAAGAAUGUUAUCACGGGAGACACACGGCGGGUGCUAACGUCCGUCGUGAAGAGGGAAACAACCCAGACCGCCAGCUAAGGUCCCAAAGUCAUGGUUAAGUGGGAAACGAUGUGGGAAGGCACAGACAGCCAGGAUGUUGGCUUAGAAGCAGCCAUCAUUUAAAGAAAGCGUAAUAGCUCACUGGUCGAGUCGGCCUGCGCGGAAGAUGUAACGGGGCUAAACCAUGCACCGAAGCUGCGGCAGCGACACUAUGUGUUGUUGGGUAGGGGAGCGUUCUGUAAGCCUGCGAAGGUGACCUGUGAGGGUUGCUGGAGGUAUCAGAAGUGCGAAUGCUGACAUAAGUAACGAUAAAGCGGGUGAAAAGCCCGCUCGCCGGAAGACCAAGGGUUCCUGUCCAACGUUAAUCGGGGCAGGGUGAGUCGACCCCUAAGGCGAGGCCGAAAGGCGUAGUCGAUGGGAAACAGGUUAAUAUUCCUGUACUUGGUGUUACUGCGAAGGGGGGACGGAGAAGGCUAUGUUAGCCGGGCGACGGUUGUCCCGGUUUAAGCA